rnacentral:siRNA from 1 species
UCUCUUAUUGUGCCUAAAUGC